GUCGCGAGUUCGAUCCUCGCUGGGGCCUCGUGGCUGAACGUUUUCCAGGGUCCGGAGCCUCGUGUCGCUCAGGUGAGCUCAGCAAAUUAUCGUUACACCUACAUAUCAGAUGACACAGCGAGGUGCAGCCGCACAGCGCUGAGGCCGGAGGAACCGCUGAGUCAUCCCAGGAACCCGCUGAGUCAUCCCAGGAACCCGCUGAGUCAUCCCAGGAACCCGCUGAGUCAUCCCAGGAACCGCUGAGUCAUCCCGACGUCUCAGGACGCGGCGCAGGAGAAACGCCGCGUUGAGAAUCACAGCUCCAGAGAGUUCUGCUGCGAGAGGAGCGGCGAAACCACGAGAGCAUGAAGGGACGUUCAGAGUCGUGUUUUAAAAUCAUGAUCUGACGUGUCUGAAGCACCGCGAAGAAUCACUGAUCAAUGAUUCUGUAUCACUGAUCAAUGAUACAGAAUCAUUGAUCAAUGAUCCGUUAGACUGAUUCUGCUCGUCGGGCCUCUUCAUGUGAUCUCAUGUGAACAGGUGAACUCUCACAGAAUUACCAACAUUACAAAUUUUUUGAUCCACUUAUUAAUAGUAAAACAUGAUUUCUAGGACAAAGCAGGAGUUUGUGUUUAUGUUGAUGUUUAGGUGUAACCCUGGUAUUAUGAUUAUUAUUGUGUAUAAUGUAUUACAAAUGCACUGUUUAGUAAAUAUCAACCAUUUUGAUCCAUUAUUCAUUCAUAAGUUUUAUUAAAAUAUCCCAAAUUCA